rnacentral:rRNA from 1 species
AGCGAACGCUGGCGGCAGGCCUAACACAUGCAAGUCGAACGAUCCUUCGGGAUAGUGGCGGACGGGUGAGUAACACGUGGGAACGUACCUUUAGGUUCGGGAUAACUCAGGGAAACUUGAGCUAAUACCGGAUAAGCCCUUCGGGGGAAAGAUUUAUCGCCUUUAGAGCGGCCCGCGUUAGAUUAGCUAGUUGGUGAGGU